UUAUGGGGCUAUAGGACCCAACAUGUAUUUAUAAGUAACAGUUACUCUGGAAUACCUAAUUAUAUUGAAUUGAUGGGGACUUUGCUCUAAAUGUCAGAAGGACUGAUCAACCUUAUGACUGAGAAGCAGCUGGGUCAAGCCUAUUUUUCUCAAUAUAAUAGGUUAUACUAUAGACACAUAAACACACAAAUUUAAAUAAGUAGUUUAUAAAGUUGUAUUUCCUUUUGUAAAAGUAAAAUUAAGGUGUGGUAGAAUUGUGGUAACUGGAGAAUUGUGCUUGGCAACAGUCUUUUGUUUUGGUGGGAGGAGCUUAGCCUCUUUCUCUCUCUCCCUCGCACUGACUCGUCUCUCUGUGGCUGGCCUUCAACCUGGCAGGAUCUCUGGGUCCUUCUUCUAUCUUUUGGGGCAUUAUGUGUGCUCCAGGGGUGAGUUUUUAUAAUUUAAGUUGUGACCACCAUACCCAGGGUGACUAAAGUGUGUCAAAACACUGGUUAGCCCAGAGUUAUGUCAAGGAGAGAGAGGACUAAAGUUGUUGAGAUAUACCAUGUGGGAGAACAGCUAUGCAGUGUGUAGAUCGUUGUUUUGAAAAUGUGAGGCUGUAAUUGUAUAUUCUGUACAUAUCUAUUGAGAAUACAGUUAUAUUUUUAUA